GUGGGGAAUAUUGGACAAUGGGCGAAAGCCUGAUCCAGCAAUGCCGCGUGAGUGAUGAAGGCCUUAGGGUUGUAAAGCUCUUUUACCAGGGAUGAUAAUGACAGUACCUGGAGAAUAAGCUCCGUCUAACUCCGUGCCAGCAGCCGCGGUAAUACGGAGGGAGCUAGCGUUGUUCGGAAUUACUGGGCGUAAAGCGCACGUAGGCGGUUACUCAAGUCAGAGGUGAAAGCCCGGGGCUCAACCCCGGAACUGCCUUUGAAACUAGGUAACUGGAAUCUUGGAGAGGUCAGUGGAAUUCCGAGUGUAGAGGUGAAAUUCGUAGAUAUUCGGAAGAACACCAGUGGCGAAGGCGACUGACUGGACAAGUAUUGACGCUGAGGUGCGAAAGCGUGGGGAGCAAACAGGAUUAGAAACCCCAGUAGUCC
rnacentral:rRNA from 1 species